GUCCUGGGGUAGCUCAGUCAGUAGAGCUUACUGUACAUGGGAUUCUUAAUCUCAGGUUGUGGGUUUGAACCCCACAUUGGGCA